AUGAACGCUGGCGGCGUGCCUAAUACAUGCCAGUCGAGCGCACAGACGAGGAGCUUGCUCCUCUGACGUUAGCGGCGGACGGGUGAGUAACACGUGGAUAACCUACCUAUAAGACUGGGAUAACUUUGGGAAACCGGAGCUAAUACCGGAUAAUAUAUUGAACCGCAUGGUUCAAUAGUGAAAGACGGUUUUGCUGUCACUUAUAGAUGGAUCCGCGCCGCAUUAGCUAGUUGGUAAGGUAACGGCUUACCAAGGCGACGAUGCGUAGCCGACCUGAGAGGGUGAUCGGCCACACUGGAACUGAGACACGGUCCAGACUCCUACGGGAGGCAGCAGUAGGGAAUCUUCCGCAAUGGGCGAAAGCCUGACGGAGCAACGCCGCGUGAGUGAUGAAGGUCUUCGGAUCGUAAAACUCUGUUAUUAGGGAAGAACAAAUGUGUAAGUAACUAUGCACGUCUUGACGGUACCUAAUCAGAAAGCCACGGCUAACUACGUG
rnacentral:rRNA from 1 species